rnacentral:lncRNA from 1 species
CUCGCCCAAGCUCUGCCUCCCAGCGCUCUCCCUCACAGAGUCACAGCAGCGCUAUCCUCCACCUGCAGCUUGCCCCCAUCUCCUCCUCUCCCCAUGGCGGCUCCCCCUAAAUCCCUCCCUGCGCGCGCUCCCUCUCCCAUGGCCGCCAACAGCGCUAGCUGAGCUCGCCCUCCCUUGCCUUCGGUCCUCCCUUCCUGCGCCAGUCCCUCCCUCAUCCCUCUCCAUGCCGGCGCUGCCCUCUGAUGCUCGCCGAGUCGCUCCCUGGUGGUUGCUCGCGAGUUUCCCCCAAUGCUGACAGCCGCGCAGAGCCUUCACCAGCCAUGGCCGCCCUGGAUCUCUAUGGUCGAGCUCCCCCCUACAGGAUCCCCUUCUAUGGCUCGACUGGUCUUCUUCCCUAGCCAAGCUCGCCCAGCCCUCCUCUCUGCUGAUGGCUGAUGCCCCUCCAGCUACUGCUCGAUGCUGCUCUCUCGGUCCCGAAGUCUAGCGCUGUCCCCUCCUGGUUUCAGCCCUUAAACCCUAGCGUCGAUCUCCCUCGUCUUGCUGCCGGUUUAUCGUGGAAGAGGAAAGUCCAUUCGGCGUGCUCUUGGUGUUUGGCAAAAAGCUUAAAUCGGAAAUCGUCAUCGUCCUUACACAUAUCGAUUUGGUUUAUGACAUGGUGAGCCCCGUCACUGUCUUUGCAAAAAUUAAUUUGAUGAAUGGAUGAUUAGAUGUUUGUGUCGGUGAUGCUCUCAUGAUUACCAAGUAUAUAUGGUUUUAUAGGUUUGAUGUUGUGAUUUUGGUGAACUAAAAUAUUGCGUAGGAUGAAUUUAGAAUGUUUAUUGAUUAUCCGAUCUGCGCAGCCCCAACCUGCGACGCCACAAUACCCUUGGUGAGCCCUCGCUGUCCCACACCCCUCGAUUCGUUAAAUAUCAAAUCAAUAAAAUGUGCAUUUAAAUAUGUGUGUAAAUCAUAGUCCUCCGUCGAUGUCGUGCCUCGCGCAUCGCGUGCUCGACAAAAAUCUCAAGCUCGUGGACAGCACACGCGCGAUCCGAGUUUGAUUUUGCCAGUGUUUGAUGUGAUUUUCUAUCCAUGCGAUUUGUUGAUGUUGUGUAUAUAUGUAGUUGAACGGAGUCCGCGAAUGAUGAAUUAGUAGAAUCCGUCGGUCACUUAUUAAUUUGAAAAUACAAGUGAGUACAUAUUCGUGUUACAUGUGUGUUUAUAAUUCUAGUGCUUCAAAUAAUUAGUUAGUAAAUCGACUGUUGGUUCACAUUUGGUUGUUCAAACUCUAAUGAAUUAUAAAAUGAUGAAGCAUUUCUAAGUAGCAAGAACAUGAUACUAUAGAGUCUAAUUAGGAGCUAAAAUUGCAUACUCACAGUUUUGGACUGCAUGUAAAGUUUCUAUCGUGCUAUUUGUUUGACGAACUAAAGUGCAUUUUCUGUAGAAAUAUACUAUAGAAAAGUUGUAGAUAAUUUUAUUAUCUUGGUUGUGUUAAAAUUUCAUGACCAUAGGUAUAGUAGUUUGGGAGUUAUGAUUUUUCCAAGUCCAGUUUCAGAAUCUAUCCAAAUUCUGUACAGGUUUCGGAAAUUGGAUUGUUUGGCUAAGCUAAAUUGAGAAUCAGCCCUUAGUAAUUAUAGAAUAAUUGUAGUACUUUUCUUAAGCUUUCUAAAAAGUCUUCGAUCACCCUUUUUGGUGGUCUAGAGAUCAGGUUAUAGCUGUUUGAAAUAUGAAGUCUAAUUCUGUCCAAAUCUGGACAAAGAAGUUUGUGUUAACUGAUUUUGAUAUGCAUUGAAUUAAUCUGAGAUGUUUAUAAAUGAAUUGUAGACAAUUCUAUUAGAUUUCUAAAAAGUCUAGGAUCACCUGAUUUGAAUGUCUGAGACUCCAGUUAUGGAUUUUUGAAGUGAGUAGUCGAAUCUUGUCCAAAUCUGGACAGAAUUUACGUUUAGCACAGUUUGACCCUUCAAAACAUUAAAUGUUGUUAUGAUAAUAAUACAAAAGUUAUAGAGGACUUUAUAAGCUUUUCAUAAAGUCCUAGUUUACUAUUUUUGGAUGCAUAUCUUGUGAGUUAUGAGCUAAACACAUUACUGUUGUACUGUUGUCCAAAAUCAGCAAGUAAUAAAGUGGUUGUUUAGAGAAGUCGAUGCCUUGCUCUAUUAGUCGUGUUCUAUAUUGGGUGAUCGGUUAAAUCCCAUAGAUGAAUAUCGAUCGUUUAGAUUAAUAAUCCUGAAUAGUUAUUUAUCAUGGUCCAAAUCAGUUGAAGGUAAGCAGCAUCGGUUGGUCCGUUUUAGUUAAAAUCCAAAAGCUACUUAGUGGUCAUCAUCCAUUAGUGUUUUAGGUCUUUAGAUUUAAAAAUUUGUGGACUUGUCAAAACUCUAUGUUGUUUGAUAAGGCUUUACUUGUUAGAUUAAGUGGUGUGGUGCUUGAAUUAGUCGAUGUGCUAUGCCUAAUAAUCUAGAUUAGUAACUCUAAAUCUAGUUAAAGUAUUUCUAUUCGUCACUUUAAGUUAUAGGUAUCCAUGGUUGUCGCGUCUAAGUAUUGUUAGCCUUCGGCGUUAUGCUUUAGCUAAGUAGAGCAUAGAACUUGCAAUAAUUUAUUGUUUCGUGAUGUUUGCAUUAGGUCCGGUUAAUCUAGAAACGCGUAAUUAUUGCAUUUAGCCAUAUGUCGAUAACUAGCGUUUGCUGAUGAAGUGUUGUAAUGCCUUGUCAUUAAGUGUUCAAUUCACUUCUGUGACCGAUUAUUUAGUAUUGCUAUUACUUCUUAUAUUUAUACAUGUGUAUUAUGCAUUUCAUUAGGUACGCUAGUUGAUCACGUGGUGCGAAAGACAGCCAAGUCGACCCCAAGAUGAUGUAACAGGUGGGCUACUCCACAAGAUAAUGCUGGUGGAUCAACCUGAAGAUGGAUAGACUGAGCAAGUAUCAGAACAAAAGCCGAUCGCCAAGUGGUCAUCGUCUAACAAACAUUAACGUAGUGUUAUCCUAGGCAAGCCCCGAUGCAUUUGCCACCUCCUUGCUGUUUUAAAAAAACUUUUAUCACUUAUCUGCUGCAUUAGGUGAUAGGAGUUGAGUGAAUAAACAAUUGAUGCAUUACCAUUCCUUGGAAUUUAAUUAUCCUCUUUGCUACCUGUUUUAUAAAGAGAACUAAUGAGGCUUAGCCCUG